UUUUCGUCUGUAAAAAAGAGGAUGAGAACCAACAGAGGAGGUUUGAGCCGAGCGUAGCGAGACAACGUUGCGUCAGCAACGGCCCGCAGGGCGCUGCUCGCAGAGCAGUGUAAUCCUCUCUCGCCGACCA
rnacentral:sRNA from 34 species